rnacentral:rRNA from 1 species
AACGAACGCUGGCGGCAGGCCUAACACAUGCAAGUCGAACGCCCCGCAAGGGGAGUGGCGCACGGGUGAGUAACGCGUGGGAAUCUGCCCUUUGGUCUGGAAUAACCCUGGGAAACUAGGGCUAAAACCGGAUAAGCCCCGCGAGGGGGAAAGUUUACGCCGAAGGAGGAGCCCGCGUCCGAUUAGCUAGUUGGUGAGGUAAGAGCUUACCAAGGCGACGAUCGGUAGCUGGUCUGAGAGGACGAUCAGCCACACUGGGACUGAGACACGGCCCAGACUCCUACGGGAGGCAGCAGUGGGGAAUAUUGGACAAUGGGCGCAAGCCUGAUCCAGCCAUGCCGCGUGAGUGAUGAAGGCCUUCGGGUUGUAAAGCUCUUUUGGCGGGGACGAUGAUGACGGUACCCGCAGAAUAAGCCCCGGCAAACUUCGUGCCAGCCGCCGCAGUAAGAC